UACGUGAGGGGCAAGCGUUGUCCGGAAUCAUUGGGCGUAAAGGGCGCGUAGGCGGCGUGACAAGUCACUUGUGAAAUCUCCGGGCUUAACUCGGAACGGUCAAGUGAUACUGUCGUGCUAGAGUACAGAAGGGGCAACUGGAAUUCUCGGUGUAGCGGUGAAAUGCGUAGAUAUCGAGAGGAACACCUGCGGCGAAGGCGGGUUGCUGGGCUGAUACUGACGCUGAGGCACGAAAGCGUGGGGAGCAAACAGG
rnacentral:rRNA from 1 species